rnacentral:tRNA from 1 species
GGAGGAGUGGCCGAGUGGUCGAAGGCAGCGGUCUUGAAAACCGCCGUGGGGAGACCCACCGGGGGUUCGAAUCCCUCCUCCUCCGCCA